UACGAAGGGGGCUAGCGUUGUUCGGAAUUACUGGGCGUAAAGCGCGUGUAGGCGGGUCUUUACGUCAGGGGUGAAAUGCCAAGGCUCAACCUUGGAACUGCCUUUGAUACUGGAGACCUUGAGUCCGGGAGAGGUGAGUGGAAUUGCGAGUGUAGAGGUGAAAUUCGUAGAUAUUCGCAAGAACACCAGUGGCGAAGGCGGCUCACUGGCCCGGAACUGACGCUGAGAUGCGAAAGCGUGGGGAGCAAACAGG
rnacentral:rRNA from 1 species